UACGGGAGGCCCAAACGUUAUUCGGAAUUACUGGGCUUAAAGAGUUCGUAGGCGGCGCAGAAAGUAGGGUGUGAAAGCCCUCGGCUCAACCGAGGAAUUGCGCCCUAAACUACUGUGCUUGAGGAACCUAGAGGUGAGCGGAACUGAUGGUGGAGCGGUGAAAUGCGUUGAUAUCAUCAGGAACACCGGAGGCGAAGGCGGCUCACUGGGGGUUAUCUGACGCUGAGGAACGAAAGCCAGGGGAGCGAACGGG
rnacentral:rRNA from 1 species